rnacentral:rRNA from 1 species
AUGGAUGAACUUAUGAAGAUGUUUGCUACUAAAAAUACUCCUCUUGAUCCCAAUGACAUGCCUUUGUCUUCCUUGAUUGAGAAUAAUAAUGAAUCUAUGGAUGUGAAUUUUGUUGGUAGGAAUAGUUUUGGGAACAAUGCUUAUAGGGGAAAUUUUAAUGUUAGACCGUUCCCUAGUAAUCCCUCUAAUAAUUAUGGAAAUUCCUACAAUAACUCUUAUGGUAAUUUUAAUAAGAUGCCCUCUUAUUUUGAGAAUAGUGUGAAAGAAUUUAUGAUUUCUCAAAAGAAUUUUAAUGCUUUGCUUGAAGAAAAAUUGCUCAAAGUUGAUGAUUUAGCUAGGAACGUUGAUAGACUUUCGCUUGAUGUUAAUUAUCUUAAACUUGGAUCUUCUUCUCCUAAGCAUGAUAUCAAUGAGUUUCUCAAAGUAAUGAGAAUUGCCAUUCACGAGUGCAAGGAAAGAACCGCUAGAUUGCAUGCUAAAAAAGAAAGCUUUAUAAAAGCGUGUUCUUCUAGUCUCCAUGAAAAUAUUGAUGAGGAUCUUAAAGUAAUUGAUGUGUCUCCGAUUAGAUCUAUGUUUUGCAAUAUGAAUUUUGAUGAUUAUGGGACUGAUGAUGAAUCAACUUUGCCUAGAAGGCGUCCCAAGAAUUUGGAGUUUUAA